CGGGACGUGGCGCAGCCUGGCUAGCGCACCUGAAUGGGGUUCAGGGGGUCGCUGGUUCAAAUCCAGUCGUCCCGACCA
rnacentral:tRNA from 1 species